rnacentral:rRNA from 1 species
GAUGAACGCUGGCGGCGUGCCUAAUACAUGCAAGUCGAGCGAACAGAUGAGGAGCUUGCUCCUCUGACGUUAGCGGCGGACGGGUGAGUAACACGUGGAUAACCUACCUAUAAGACUGGGAUAACUUCGGGAAACCGGAGCUAAUACCGGAUAAUAUAUUGAACCGCAUGGUUCAAUAGUGAAAGACGGUUUUGCUGUCACUUAUAGAUGGAUCCGCGCCGCAUUAGCUAGUUGGUAAGGUAACGGCUUACCAAGGCAACGAUGCGUAGCCGACCUGAGAGGUGGGUCAGCCACCCGUGCAAGGGGACCACGCACCACACCCCUCGGGGCGGCACCAGGAGGGACUUCUCCGGAAGGGGGGAAGGCCGGACGGUACACCGCGGGGGGAAGAAGAAAGGUCUCGGUACCGAAACCCUUUUUUAUGGGGAAAAAAAAAAUGUGUAAGUACCUAUGCUCGUCUUCCGGCCCCUUAAUAAAAAACCCCGCCCAAACCCGCCC